AACGAACGCUGGCGGCAUGCCUAACACAUGCCAGUCGAACGAGACCUUCGGGUCUAGUGGCGCACGGGUGCGUAACGCGUGGGAACCUGCCCUUAGGUUCGGAAUAGCUCCCCGAAAGGGGUGCUAAUACCGGAUAAUGUCUUCGGACCAAAGAUUUAUCGCCUUUGGAUGGGCCCGCGUUGGAUUAGCUAGUUGGUAGGGUAAAAGCCUACCAAGGCGACGAUCCAUAGCUGGUCUGAGAGGAUGAUCAGCCACACUGGGACUGAGACACGGCCCAGACUCCUACGGGAGGCAGCAGUGGGGAAUAUUGGACAAUGGGCGAAAGCCUGAUCCAGCAAUGCCGCGUGAGUGAUGAAGGCCUUAGGGUUGUAAAGCUCUUUUACCCGGGAUGAUAAUGACAGUACCGGGAGAAUAAGCGCCGGCUAACUCCGUG
rnacentral:rRNA from 1 species